GACAGUGCCUUUAAAAGGUGGUUAAGAUAACAUGAGCUGACUGGGGUGGGCCCUGAGCCACUUUGACUGAGUCUUACAAGAAGAGGAGGUCGGGGCACAGAUGCACAUGAAGGGCGCCAGGGAAGGACAGACCCUGACACACAGAGGAGUGGGGACUCAGCAGAAGCCAGCCCUGCCAACACUUGUCUCAGACUUUGAGAGCAGAUAUUUAAAAUCUGGUGGUUUAGCCAAAGAAUUUGGGACAGCAAGACUAUACAAUCUUCCAUCCGCUGCAAAGAGAUGUUCGUUUUUUCUCAGCGUUUCUGAGAAGCUGGAAAACAAGGUGAUCCAGGAGGCUACAACAGGCUGAAGUCUGUGUGUCCCACACAUUCCUAUGUUGAAAUCCCAACCCCCGAGGUAUUAGGAGGUGGAGGCUUUGGGAGGUGAUGAGGUCAUGAGGGGAGCGUGAGACUGGUCCCCUUGCAAAAGGGACCCCAGGAAGCUCUGUUCCGCCACGUGAGGAUGCACACGAAAGCAGCACCGCCUGCAGCCUGGAGCAGCACCCUCCCCAGAACCCGACCAUCCCACCCCGAUCUGCGAUCUGCGGCUUCGGACCUCCAGGGCUGAGAGAGCCCAGGCUGCAGGGCAGAAGCCCCACUCUCCAGCCCCCGCCUGAGCUGCAUAAGGCGGCCGCCCUUCCUCCACCCCCCUCUCUUCCGGGUCUCUGCUUGCGCUGGUUUCCUGUUGUUGCUGUAACAAUUGCCGACGGAGCACCACAGAUUCCCUCUCUGACAGCCCUGGGCGUCAGGAGCCCACAGGCCCUGCCACAGAACUGAAGCCAAGGUGCCAGCUGGACUGCUUCCUUGCCAGGGACCUGCAGGAAAAUUCAUCCUGGCCUUUUCUGUGGCCUUGCCCAUGGCCUCGCCCAUGGCCUCUUCCUCUGGUUCAAAGCCCAUCAUUCCAACCUCUGCUCCUAUCAUCCCCUCCCCUCUCCUUCGUUCCCUCUCCACUGCCUCUCCCUGCCCUCCUCUGCUGCCCUCCCGAAAGGACCCGAGGUGAUACAGGCCCACAGGGCAGUCUGGCACAGCCUCCCCCGCUUCAGGUCCGGGGUUUAAUCACAUCUACAAAGUUGCUUUGGCUGUGGGAGCCAACGCUCACACGUUCCAGGAAUUAGGACCAGGAAAUCCUGGUGGGAGGGUGGGGGCAGAUUCUGUCCUCCACCUGGCUGGGGGACCAAGUUGGCAGCGGGGCCUUUCCUGACUGCCCUGUCAGAAACUGCAGCACCACCCUACCCCACUCCACCUCACCCCUACCUCACCCCACCUCACCCCUACCUCACCCCACCUCACCCCUACCUCACCCCACCUCACCCCACCCCACCCUCAUCCCACCACACCCCCACUCCACCCACCCCUACUCCAC
rnacentral:lncRNA from 10 species